rnacentral:rRNA from 1 species
UACGGAGGGUGCAAGCGUUAAUCGGAAUUACUGGGCGUAAAGGGCGCGUAGGCGGCACGGCAAGUCAGAAGUGAAAGGCCUGGGCUCAACCGAGGAACUGCUUUUGAGACUGCCGAGCUAGAGUGCGGAAGGGGCAACCGGAAUUCCCAGUGUAGCGGUGAAAUGCGCAGAUAUCAGGAGGAACACCGGUGGCGAAGGCGGUUCUCUGGGCAUUACCUGACGCUGAGGAGCGAAAGUGUGGGGAGCGAACAGG